CCUACGGGCGGCAGCAGUGAGGAAUAUUGGUCAAUGGACGAGAGUCUGAACCAGCCAAGUAGCGUGAAGGAUGACUGCCCUAUGGGUUGUAAACUUCUUUUAUAAAGGAAUAAAACGAGGCACGUGUGCCUUUUUGCAUGUACUUUAUGAAUAAGGCUCGGCUAACUCCGUGCCAGCAGCCGCGGUAAUACGGAGGAUCCGAGCGUUAUCCGGAUUUAUUGGGUUUAAAGGGAGCGUAGAUGGGUUGUUAAGUCAGUUGUGAAAGUUUGCGGCUCAACCGUAAAAUUGCAAUUGAUACUGGCAGUCUUGAGUACAGUUGAGGUAGGCGGAAUGCGUGGUGUAGCGGUGAAAUGCAUAGAUAUCACGAAGAACCCCGAUUGCGAAGGCAGCUUACUAAACUGUGACUGACAUUGAUGCUCGAAAGUGUGGGUAUCGAACAGGAUUAGAUACCCUUGUAGUC
rnacentral:rRNA from 1 species